GGAGGAAUGGCCGAGUGGUUGAAGGCACUUGUCUUGAAAACAAGCAGGGCGUAAGCUCUCGUGGGUUCAAAUCCUACUUCCUCCGCCA
rnacentral:tRNA from 1 species